CGGACGGGUGAGUAACACUGGGUAACCUACCUAUAAGACUGGGACAACUUCGGGAAACCGGAGCUAAUACCGGAUAAGAUAUCGAACCGCAUGGUUCGAUAGUGAAAGANGGUUUUGCUAUCACUUAUAGAUGGACCCGCGCCGUAUUAGCUAGUUGGUGAGGUAACGGCUCACCAAGGCAACGAUACGUAGCCGACCUGAGAGGGUGAUCGGCCACACUGGAACUGAGACACGGUCCAGACUCCUACGGGAUGCAGCAGCG
rnacentral:rRNA from 1 species